UACGAAGGGGGCGAGCGUUGUUCGGAAUCACUGGGCGUAAAGGGCGCGUAGGCGGCUCAUGAAGGCUGUGGUGAAAGUCCGGGGCUCAACCUCGGAUCGGCCGUGGCGACUCGUGGGCUGGAGCACUGUAGAGGCGGGUGGAAUUCCGGGUGUAGCGGUGGAAUGCGUAGAGAUCCGGAAGAACACCAGUGGCGAAGGCGGCCCGCUGGGCAGUGGCUGACGCUGAGGCGCGACAGCGUGGGGAGCAAACAGG
rnacentral:rRNA from 1 species